GAUGGUUCCUAUCUCAGCCUUUUCUCUUUCUCUUGCGUUCUCUUCUUGUUCCUCUGGUUCUUCGAUUCUUUCUUCUUCCUCUCUCAGAUUUUGCUCUUGCGUUCACUCCACUCCCUUAUAUUCAUGGUCACAUUAUAUUCUUGUUUUUCUAUCAUUCUAGGUAUGAUAGAAAAAGCUACAAAAUUUUACAAAGGUUUCCGAUCUGCAAAUCAGAAGCAGCUUGAAGAUAGAGAUAGGUUGUUGCAGGUAAUUCAUCUCUACAAUACGAUUCUGUCGUUUCUUGCCCUGCUGAGUGAGGAGAAAUCAUAGGACCUGAGAUCAAGCAGUGAUUUUCAUGGCAAAAAAAUCGUUCUUCAAGAAAACAAAUCCAUAUCCAGCAGAAGAAAUUUCCGACUCUAACCAUCCUUAGAGAAUAAGUUGCAAUAAAAAAGCCAAAUCAAUCUUUAGAACAAGAAGAAGAAAUCUCAUCACAAGAAAAUCUCUGGUUUCCAGCUGAUUUUCACUUGUAAAGAUGGUUUGUAUGCCUACUUUGAGAGACAAGUUUGGUUGAUACUUUUCAGUUGCUGAUCAGUUUAUCUAAACAGUUUGCUCCAGGUAGUUCAUCAAAAGUUCUCAUCACAUCUGCAGAUUCACGAAUUCGGGUUGUCGACGGUAUUGAUCUGGUUCACAAGUUUAAAGAAAACUACCAGAAUUCUCUAUGCAAUGAGCUGUGCUCUUAUGAACAUCUCAUUCUUCUAAGCAUUGAUAGUUAUACCAUGUAAAUGCAAGAUACUUUAGUUACCACUUGAGCUGCAAAAGGGACAAUAAGAAAUUCCUACAAGUUAGAAGUUGCCAUGUUCAAAACUUAGGAAUGAAUAAUCCAGACAUGUAGACCAAUUGCAAGAUGCAGUUGAUUCUCUUUUUCAAUUAUUGCCAUGAUGGUAUUCAAAUAUAGAUGUGAAGAAAAACAUUGUAGUGGAUUUCUUUGUAAAUGAAUUUUUUCCUUCUUAUGAUGAGCAAGUAGCAGAGUAAGUGGAAGUCAAGAUAC